rnacentral:snRNA from 1 species
ACACUUACCUGACAGGGGAGAUAACAUGAUCACGAAGAUGGUUUUCCCAGGGAAAGACUUUUCCAUUGUACUCCGGAUGUGCUGACCCCUGCAGUAUCCCCAAAUGAAGGAAGCUCAACUGCAUAAUUUGUGCAAGUGGAGAACUAUGUUUGCACUUUCCCCUA